UGCAGGUGAACGAGGUGCCUCGUUCUCCGAUCCUAGAACCUGGGGAGAAACCCUCCCCAGUAGGGCACCUCUCGAAUCCUGGGAGGGCACGGGGGCACAUCGAAAUUAAGUGCGUCUGUUUCCAAUGGCGAACCUGAUGAGAGUUCCUUAGCGGUGCGUCUCUUCGGGAGCCGUGCGGUACACGUGUAGGGGCAUCAGGUCGCAGGUUACGUUGGACCGGUGCACCGGGACGAAGUGCCUCGAUGGAGUUCUUCUUUUCUCCUCCUGGAGGAGGCACCCCGGGCUCUUUCAGCACGUCGCACCUCGAGAGGGACAUUAUGAAAUUGAAGCCAACGUUAGGGACAGAGUGACAGUACGCCGGACACCUGUGGGAGGAGAUGGACGGAUCGGCCGAUCGAGAGGUCGCCGAUGGACACCCGACGAGGAUCACCGGAAGUGCCGGGGAAGAAAUACUCUCAAGGCGCCGAGAGUCGCAGUUUUCUUCCCGACGCCGAUGUCGACGUCGACGUCUUCGAGCGCCGCGGAGAAAGAAAGAAAGAAAAAGAAAAAAGUUAAGUCUCUUCGGGGCGUUUCCCCCGCGUCGGGAAAAAUGCAAUGUCGGGUCGCGCGGAACGCCUGUUUACCCGGGAACCUGUACUUUUCUUUAAGCAUCUA